rnacentral:misc_RNA from 1 species
UCUCUCUCUCUCUCUCUCUCUCUCUCAAAGAUCACUCAUUUUCUUACCACCAUGACUAGCAGAGAAAUUCUGCACAAGAUGAAGGUGAAGGCCGGAUUUUGUUCAUCGUCUGAGACAGGAAAAGGCAAAAGCAAAAUGUCAAAGCAUAUCACACAUGGUUAUCACUUGAUGAAGGGAAAAUCAAAUCAUGCCAUGGAAGAUUAUGUAUUUUCUGAUUUCAAGCAAGUAAAUAACAAUGAGUUGGGUUUAUUUGCAAUAUUUGAUGGCCAUUUGGGCCAUGAUGUUGCAAAUUACUUGCAAACCCAUUUGUUUGACAAUAUUUUGAAAGAGCAUGACUUCUGGACAGAUACAGAGAGUGCAAUAAGGAGAGCUUAUCAUACAACGGAUGUUGAAAUACUGGAAAAAGCAUUUGUCUUGGGUAAAGGAGGAUCAACUGCUGUUACAGCAAUCCUGAUCAAUGGUCAGAAGCUGGUAGUAGCAAAUGUGGGAGAUUCUCGGGCUGUCAUAUCCAAGAAUGGCGUGGCCAAACAACUAUCUGUCGAUCAUGAACCAAGCAAAGAAAAGAAUACGAUAGAGAGUCGUGGUGGUUUUGUGUCAAACCUUCCUGGGGAUGUUCCACGUGUUGAUGGACAGCUAGCCGUUGCAAGGGCAUUUGGUGAUAAGAGCUUGAAGAUACACCUUAGUUCAGAACCUGAUGUGGCUGAAGAGACAAUCGAUGAUGACACAGAGUUCAUCAUUCUGGCAAGUGAUGGGAUAUGGAAGGUGAUGUCAAACCAAGAAGCAGUGGAUACUAUAAAAGACAUCAAAGAUGCUCAUUCAGCUGCAAAGCGCUUGAUAGACGAGGCAGUUUCUAGAAAAAGUAAGGAUGACAUAUCUUGCAUAGUUGUAAGAUUUCAGUGAUAAUAUCUAUGAACAAUUGAAGUUUGUUUUCCUUUAACUUGUGAAAAAUCAACAAUAAUACGUUUAUACAUAACUU